UACGGGGGGGCAAGCGGUUGUCCGGAUUCAUUGGGCGUAAAGGGCGCGUAGGCGGCCUUCUAAGUCAGACGUGAAAUCCCCAGGCUUAACUUGGGAACUGCGUCUGAUACUGGGAGGCUUGAGUGCGGGAGAGGGAUGUGGAAUUCCAGGUGUAGCGGUGAAAUGCGUAGAUAUCUGGAGGAACACCGGUGGCGAAGGCGGCAUCCUGGACCAAUAUUGACGCUGAGGAGCGAAAGCCAGGGGAGCAAACGGG
rnacentral:rRNA from 1 species